UACGGGGGGGGCAAGCGUUGUUCGGAAUUACUGGGCGUAAAGGGCUCGUAGGCGGCCAACUAAGUCGGACGUGAAAUCCCCAGGCUCAACCGGGGAACUGCGUGUGAGACUGGAUGGCUUGAGUUUGGGAGAGGAAUGCGGAAUUCCAGGUGUAGCGGUGAAAUGCGUAGAUAUCUGGAGGAACACCGGUGGCGAAGGCGGCAUUCUGGACCAAUACUGACGCUGAGGAGCGAAAGCCAGGGGAGCAAACGGG
rnacentral:rRNA from 1 species